rnacentral:rRNA from 1 species
UGAGGAAUAUUGCUCAAUGGCCGCAAGGCUGAAGCAGCAACGCCGCGUGAGGGAUGAAGGAUCUAUGGUCUGUAAACCUCUGUAGAGAAGGAAAAAUAACCCAUUAUAUGGGCUUGAUAGUACUUCUAGAGUAAGCCCCGGCUAACUACGUGCCAGCAGCCGCGGUAAUACGUAGGGGGCGAGCGUUGUCCGGAAUCACUGGGUGUAAAGGGUGCUCAGGCGGGUCGGUAAGUCAGAGGUGAAAUUUCACAGCUUAACUGGGAAUGUGCUUUUGAUACUGUCGGUCUAGAGUGCAGAAGAGGGCAAUGGAAUUCUUGGUGGAGCGGUAAAAUGCAUAGAUAUCAAGAAGAACACCAGUUGCGAAGGCGGCUGCCUGGUCUGUAACUGACGCUCAAGCACGAAAGCGUGGGGAUCAAACA